UAGUCCUCACGAGUCACGACACGCCUGUCUUUGAGGUAGACCCACCCUUUCCCUUUCUCUAUCCUCAACCUAAAUUCUCCAUUCUCCAGAUCUUGCAAGAAGGAUGAAGAUGGAAGAGAAUGGAUGGUCUCUGCCAGCAGCCAUCAGCAGGAUGGUCGGGAAGCUGCGAUUCUAUCUGGGAAACAGCAGUGAUUCAAGCAAGUUUAAGGGCACCAUGAAGAUGCUCGAUUUGUUGGAGGAGAAGCUCAUGAUCCUCCAAGACAAGAAUCUGCAGCGCGUCAGUACAGACAGAGAAGAAGAGAUGGGUGCGUGGCUACUGCAGGUGAAGGAGGCUGCAGAUGACGCAGAAGAGCUGGUCAAGGACAUGGAGAGCGGUGAGUCUGCAAUUCCUGAUGUCAUGACUUGGUUCCGUUCUGAUAGCAGUAACCUCCUCAGAAUGAAAUAUACCAUCGGCAGACUUGUUAGCGUGUUCACUGAAGGUGAAUCCCUUCUUGGCAUGCCUAACCUGGAUGAGGAUGUCCUGGAAAGCAUGCGGAAUGAUAGUGCUUCGUCAACUCCUGAUCAUGUCUAUGUUGUUGGUCGGGAUAAGGAAAUAGCUAUGAUAUUGGAUAUGGUAUUGGAGGAUGCUCGUUUUAAGGUGGUGACGUCACUUGAAAGCUGGGCAAGUGCUGACACCUUACAAAUUUCUCAGAAAGGAUGGAUCAUUGAGACCCUCCAAAACAUCAAUCCAUCUCAGCAGAGACAUGAAGAUGCAGAAGUAUCACCUUACCCAAAAGAAAUGGGUGGCACCAUAGAAUAUACCCAGGUGUGCAAUAAUACUGUUAGUGAACUGAUGAACCCUAUGAUCAUUCCGAUGGUUGGAAUUAGCGGGGUUGGUAAAACAACCCUUGCGCAGCACAUUUUCAAUGACAAAAGGAUCCAGAAGCACUUUCAGGGUCAAUCUGCAUGGAUCUAUUGUACUGACAACAUCAGAAAGGAAGAAUUGAUGACAAAGAUCUUGGUAUCUUUGCAGCCUCAACAUAAGAUUCUAGAUGUUGGGUUCGAUCUGAACAGCCUCCACAAUCAACUUCAGAGUUUCAUAGAAGGAAAGAGGUUUUUUAUUGUACUUGAUGAUGUGUCUGAUGACAUCCGUGCAGUAUGGGGUGAUGUAAGAAGUGUACUAAGCAGAGGUGCACCUGGAAGUGUUAUCUUAGUGACAACCCGACUGUAUGGUGUGGCCAGCAUUAUGGGGACAACAGCUCCAAUUUUUUUGAAUCCUCUACAGUAUGAUGACUUGUGGAAAAUUUUUAAGCAUCAUGCAUUUUUCGGUAAUCAAAGUACAGAAGCCCUGGAGUCAAUUGGGAGAAAAAUUGCUAAAAAAUUACAUGGACUUCCUUUAGCAGCAAUAAUGGUCGCGGUAUCAUUGAGAAAUUGUUUAGAUGAAGUGCACUGGAAUAUACUUUUAAAGAGCUGGUGGUGGAGUGUUUCAAGUAACAGUUUGGGCAUCCACAUUGCAGCUUCUCUUGGGGUCUGUUAUUGUGAAUUACCUGCAUAUUUGAGGCAGUGCUUGGUUUAUUGCUCGAUAUUUCCUAGGAAUUAUAUAUUUGGAAAAUAUGAGUUGAUCCAAAUGUGGAUAGCUAAUGGUUUCGUGGAGCUAUACAACACUACUGGUCCCAGAAGUUUGGAGGAUGUAGCUGCUGAAUGGUUUGAUGAACUUGUUAAUAGGUGCUUUCUGCAACCUACAUUUUGGGAACUCCGAUAUGUUAUGCAUGAUUUGGUUAGAGAUUUUGCAAUUGCCCUAACUUCUAAUGAGCAUCGUGCUGGUGAUUGUGAGCUGGUAGAUCUUCCACAAAGUAUCCGCCAUUUAUCCAUAAAUAUGCAUAAUAUGAACGUGUCAUGGGGAGACUAUAACAUUAAAAAUUUGCGAUCACUAAUGUUGUUUGGCGGGUUAUGUGACAGCAGCUCUAGUGAAUGCUACACCACUGUUGAUAGCCUUCUGGAGAGGUCUUAUGGCACCGUUGAUCGCCUUUCAGAGAUAUCCUAUGACAAUGUUGAUAGCAUUUCUGAGGGGUGUUCUGAUGCAAUUGAUAAUGAACAUGCUGACAUCAGUUUCAAGAGAUCUUGUGUGAAUAUUGGAAGUAUUUUAAGAAGAUCAACAAGCCUGCGCUUAUUGAACUUGUCUAACAUGAUGCCCAAUGCUGCAACAACAUGCUUUGAUAACCAUCUACUUGUUGAAGAUCAUGUUGCAGCAUUUGCGAGGUUUAUUGCAAGACAUCACAUGCUGCCGCAUUUGACUCACCUCAGAUACUUAGAUUUUUCAUACAGUGGGAUUACUGAACUUCCUGAUACAUUAUGUACCUUGUGCAAUCUCCAGGUUCUUGGCUUGCGGAGCUGUAGAUUCACACAGUUACCAGGAAGCAUGAACUCAUUAAUUAGCCUGAGACACUUACAUGCAGAUGCAGAUACAAUCGCUCUAAUUCAUGGCAUUGGAGGGCUCACAAAGCUCCAAGAUUUGCAAGAAUUCCGUGUUAAAGCAGAGGAUGGCCACAGAAUAACUGAGUUAAGGGACAUGAGGUACAUUGAAGGUUCCCUUUGUAUAUCAGAUCUUCAGAGGGUGGCCAAUCAAACAGAGGCAAGUCAGGCUAACUUAUCCAGAAAGGAAGGUAUUAUUUGUUUACAUCUAAAAUGGGACAUAAACCAAUGUUUGAGGGGUAAAUAUAACCAUUUCGGAAGGGAGUUGAGUCAGUAUGCUAAAGGUCAAAAAGAACUACUUCAUGCUAGCUCACUUCAGAAGAAUUAUAUGGCUUCAGAUAUUUCAGGAUCAGUUGUGAAUCCAUCAGAGGUAUCUACACCUGAUCAAGCCAUCGACAUACUACAAUGUUUGACACCACCUAGGAAUUUGCAAAAGCUGAAAAUUUUUGGGUACCCAGGGUGUUCUUUUCCAGACUGGGUGCAAUGCCUCAGGUAUAUCCAAGUUAUUGAGAUAAGCCACUGCAUAGAACUGCAAGUACUUCCGCCUAUAGGACAGCUGGAGCAUCUAAAGAAAUUGAAGUCAUAUGAGUUGCCUUCCAUAAAAGAUGUCAAUUCUGAUGUAUAUGGAAGCUCAAAUGUGGUCUUUCAAUCUUUGGAGGAGCUGACUUUUGGAUCCAUGGUGAAAUGGGAAAACUGGGCAGAUGCAGAGAAUAGAGAAUUAUUUCCAAACCUGCAAAAGCUGCAGAUAAAUAGAUGCUACAACCUGAGGAGACUACCUUUUAUGGCCUUGAGCAUAGCUAUCAAAGAACUUUCACUUUCAGGUUGUGGUUCAUAUUCUGGUACGGUAUCAAGUUAUUUGCAUCGGUUAACUUGUCUCACACAUUUAAAGGUAAAUGAUUGCUCACAAAAGUUAACCCUUCCAUGUCAAAAACUGGUAUCACUAGAAUACUUGCACCUUUCAAAUUGUAAGGAGCUCUGCUUUGAGGGUGGAAUUCUUUGUAUGAACAAUUUGAAAGCACUACAUAUUUCCAGCUGCCACUUAGUCAGGUUAUCCCUAGAAGAAGAGCUCACUCGCCUGCUCUCGGGUUGGGCAUCAAUGUUCGGAGAAGAGCAGGCACUUGUUCUUAAAACCACUAUUCUUCAGAUAGUCAAAGAGGCAGGCAUGAAAAGUAGGGAUAUCCACCUUCCCGUUUCUGCUGUAGCUGGAUUAUCCAAAAAAUCAGACAGAAAAAGGAGAGAUACACAACAUAAACAAGAGCACAUUCACGUUAUGCAGUCUCUCACUGACCUUACAAUGGAUAACCUUUCCCAGUCUCUAAAUCUCGAUAAUAUCCUUUGCAAGCUUUCAACACUCCGUACUCUAUGUCUUUACAAGGUUCAUAAUAUAUCUGUUCUUCAAGAACAGUGGCUUGAGCAAAUUAAGUCCCUACAGGAGCUGGAGUUUCAUAGUUGCUACCUACUCAGGAAGCUCCCAUCGAAUUUGGCCGCUUUGUCAUCCUUGAAGAAGUUGAGUCUACAGUCAUGUUCCCAAAUUCACUCACUACCAUCGAAAGGUCUACCAUGGAACCUAAAGGAAUUGCAGAUGCUAGGUUGCUCACCUAUGCUAGAGGCACGAUGCCAGAAGGAAGAUGGAGAGAUAUGGGUGAAGAAGAAGAUACAGGAACAGCAGAAGCGGACAGUUCUGGCAAAUGAGUUCUGGCAAGGAUGGCAGGAGUACGAGGAACAGUUGGUCCAAUGUGCGGGUGAGCAGCAGAAGAAUAAGGGAGAGUGGUUGAUGAAUGAAGAAGAGGACUGGCUGAAGCAGCAUAGUGCGGUAGAGCCAGUAAGUAAUGUAGACGUGUGGCUCAAGGCAACAGGAGAAGACUGGCCAAAGAUUGCUCACAUUCCGUAUAUCCGUGUGAAUGGAGAUAUCAUACAGAAUCUUUAUCUCUGAAGCUGCAGAUUCACAAAAUCUGUGUUAACUGUUAAGGUCGUUUGUGCUGAAAACUGAGAAGGAGAUUGAUAAAAGGCGAAAGAAUAGUUCUCUCUGUGCGCACCGCGCAGCUCUCCUGCCGGUUCGUUUCAAAAAAGAAGAGGAGGAGAUUGAUACAUAACAGGCUUAUAUUCUUCAGGUGGUAUUUGAAAUUGAAAAAUUAUGGGGGUGGCUUUGCUCAAGAGAGACACGGUGGCCACAUCGGAUCGGCUUCAGUUCAUAUAACUUGCAUGAAAAUUUUGUAACAGGUUGAACACUGCAAGGAUGUGCGAUUGUCGCGGAGAUCGACGAUCUCUUUUUCUAAACAGAACAACCACGAAUCAAGUCCUGUUCAAGGUAGCCAUUGCGUGAAUCAAGUGCAGAUCAGGUUCAGUUAACGCCCGGGGUCGAAGAUUUGGUGACUUGGAAAUGGGAUAGCUCUGGUUCUUACUCCUCUAAAUCGGUAUGCAAGUUCUUCUACAGCACCUCCAUCAAGUUUGCCGCAGCGGAACCGAUUUGGAAGGCUUGGGCACCAUUGAAAGUGAAGGUAUUCAUGUGGUUAGCUGUUAAGAAUCGGCUCUGGACAGCUGCUAGGAGGCAGAGACGAGGAUUGCAAGAUCAUGUGUGUUGUGGCCUGUGUGACCAGGAGUCAGAGACUACAGAUCACCUCUUCUCUAGGUGCCCUUUCUCUAUGCAUGUGUGGCAUCGAGUCGGUGCAGUAUUGAACCUGCACAAUGCCAUCCCGGCAAAUAAAGUCGGACUGCUAGA